rnacentral:rRNA from 1 species
AUUGAACGCUGGCGGCAUGCCUUACACAUGCAAGUCGAACGGCAGCACGGGAGCAAUCCUGGUGGCGAGUGGCGAACGGGUGAGUAAAGUAUCGGAACGUGCCCAGUCGUGGGGGAUAACGUAGCGAAAGUUACGCUAAUACCGCAUACGACCUGAGGGUGAAAGUGGGGGACCGCAAGGCCUCGCGCGAUUGGAGCGGCCGAUAUCAGAUUAGGUAGUUGGUGGGGUAAAGGCUCACCAAGCCGACGAUCUGUAGCUGGUCUGAGAGGACGACCAGCCACACUGGGACUGAGACACGGCCCAGACUCCUACGGGAGGCAGCAGUGGGGAAUUUUGGACAAUGGUCGCAAGCCUGAUCCAGCCAUGCCGCGUGCAGGAUGAAGGCCUUCGGGUUGUAAACUGCUUUUGUACGGAACGAAAAGGUUUGACUUAAUACGUUGGACUCAUGACGGUACCGUAAGAAUAAGCACCGGCUAACUACGUGCCAGCCGCCGCGGUAA